rnacentral:sRNA from 1 species
AACCUCCUUCGUGAAGCUCACACCUCCCCCGCCCCGGGAGGGGUUUGCCCGCCACUGUCGCUGAAUGAUUGCAUCAUCGAAAGCAGAAAACCACUUUUGCAUCCUUCGGUCUCUGGCGUGCCUGCCAUGACGUAAUAGCUCUGCGGAGGUGGAAGUUGGGGAGCUUUGAGACCCUGCCCUCUACUCUGGGCCCUUUCCUUUCUACCGGCGCCCUUCGGAACUGGGCUGCUUCUCCCUGGAUGCUCAACGCCAGUACCAUGGAGAUGCCCGAGCCCUGCGCUACUAUAGCCCACCCCCCACUAACGGUCCAGGCCCCAACUUCGACCUCAGAGACGGAUACCCGGAUCGAUACCAGCCCCGGGACGAGGAGGUCCAAGAAAGGCUGGACCACCUGCUGUGCUGGCUCCUGGAACACCGAGGCCGGUUGGAGGGGCUGGCUGGCAGAGGCCAUAGUGACGUGGCGGGGGCACCUGACAAAACUGCUGACGACACCGUAUGAGCGGCAGGAGGGCUGGCAGCUGGCAGCCUCCCGGUUCCAGGGAACACUAUACCUGAGUGAAGUGGAGACACCGAACGCUCGGGCCCAGAGGCUUGCUCGGCCACCGCUCCUCCGGGAGCUUAUGUACAUGGGAUACAAAUUUGAGCAGUACAUGUGUGCAGCCGCCUGGGAAGCCACCCUCUGCUCUUCUCAGGGGAGGUAGACUGCACAGACCCCCAGGCCCCAUCCACACAGCCCCCGACCUGCUAUGUGGAGCUCAAGACCUCCAAGGAGAUGCACAGCCCUGGCCAAUGGAGGAGUUUCUACAGACACAAGCUCCUGAAAUGGUGGGCUCAGUCAUUCCUCCCAGGGGUCCCGAAUGUUGUUGCUGGCUUCCGUAACCCAGACGGUUUUGUCUCUUCCCUCAAGACCUUUCCUACCAUGAAGAUGUUUGAAUAUGUCAGGAAUGACCGUGACGGCUGGAAUCCCUCUGUGUGCAUGAACUUCUGUGCCGCCUUCCUUAGCUUUGCCCAGAGCACCGUUGUCCAGGAUGACCCCAGGCUCGUUCACCUCUUCUCUUGGGAGCCUGGCGGCCCAGUCACCGUGUCUGUACACCGAGAUGCACCUUACGCCUUCC